rnacentral:rRNA from 1 species
AGUGAACGCUGGCGGCGUGCCUAAUACAUGCAAGUCGAACGCGAAAGUCCUUCGGGAUGAGUAAAGUGGCGCACGGGUGAGUAAUACAUGGGAACAUGCCCUUGGAUGGGGAAUAACGGUUGGAAACGAACGCUAAUACCGCAUAAUCUCGCGAGAGUAAAGGUGGCGCCGCAAGGGCUACCGUCCAAGGAUUGGGCCAUGUCCCAUUAGGUUGGUGGCGGGGUAAUGGCCCACCAAGGCAACGAUGGGUAACUGGUCUGAGAGGAUGAUCAGUCACACUGGAACUGAGACACGGUCCAGACUCCUACGGGAGGCAGCAGUAGGGAAUAUUGCACAAUGGGGGAAACCCUGAUGCAGCAACGCCGCGUGAGUGAAGAAGGCCCUUGGGUUGUAAAGCUCUUUAGCGUGGGAAGAAGGUAGAUAUGGUGAAUAAUCAUGUUUGCUGACGGUACCACGAGAAUAAGCACCGGCUAAUUUCGCGCCAGCCGCCGCGGUAA